rnacentral:rRNA from 1 species
AAACGGUCUGCUCUAAUAAAGUGGGCUAAUGACGGUACCGUAAGAAUAAGCACCGGCUAACUACGUGCCAGCAGCCGCGGUAAUACGUAGGGUGCGAGCGUUAAUCGGAAUUACUGGGCGUAAAGCGUGCGCAGGCGGUUAUAUAAGACAGUUGUGAAAUCCCCGGGCUCAACCUGGGAAUUGCAUCUGUGACUGUAUAGCUAGAGUACGGUAGAGGGGGAUGGAAUUCCGCGUGUAGCAGUGAAAUGCGUAGAUAUGCGGAGGAACACCGAUGGCGAAGGCAAUCCCCUGGACCUGUACUGACGCUCAUGCACGAAAGCGUGGGGAGCAAACAGGAUUAGAUACCCUGGUAGUCCACGCCCUAAACGAUGUCAACUGGUUGUUGGGUGCAUUAGUACUCAGUAACGAAGCUAACGCGUGAAGUUGACCGCCUGGGGAGUACGGCCGCAAGGUUGAAACUCAAA